GGCGCCAUAGCCAAGUGGUAAGGCCGAGGACUGCAAAUCCUUUACCCCCAGUUCAAAUCUGGGUGGCGCCUCCA
rnacentral:tRNA from 1 species